GGGACUGUGGCUUAGUGGUAAAGUGCUUACUUAGCAUGCAUGAAGCCCUGGGUUCGAUUCCUCAGUACCA
rnacentral:tRNA from 1 species